AACAUUUUGUGUGUUUUUGUUGAACUAAUAUACAAGACAUAAAAGACAGGUGCAAUAAUAAGUUCCCUUUUGUGACCUAGAACUCAUCCAGUUUGAGCUUUGAUCCAUACAAAAAGAAAUAUG
rnacentral:snoRNA from 1 species